GCCGGGUGUGGUGGCUCAUGCCUGUAAUCCCAGCACUUGGGAGGCUGAGGCAGGAGGAUCGCUGUGAGUUCAAGACCAGCCUGGGGCUACGUAGUGAGUUCCAGUUCAGUCUCAACUACAUAGUAAGACCCUGUCUCAAACCACCCCCCCCAAAAAAAAUAUACUUGAGACUGACCUGGAACUCACUAUGUAGCCCCAGGCUGGUCUUGAACUCACAGCGAUCCUCCUGCCUCAG
rnacentral:SRP_RNA from 1 species